UCCACACUACUUGAAAAAGUAAACCUCGAGUCCCCGGCAACGGAGCCAAAAACUUGUUAACGGAUUGACAAGCGUACCAAAUCGUAUCAAGUAAUAACAAAUGGUAAGUCCAAGUAUCAUUUUCCCAAGAGACUCGAAAGGCCUUAUCGUUCGUGUGAAUUAAGAUCGUAAGACUUGAAAAUAAAAAUUAAUCAAUUGAGUAUGAGAAAAAAAUAUAAACAUGCAAAAGAGAUUGAUUCAAUUGAUGAGAAGAAAACGAUGAAUGAAUGGAGUUGUUGGGGGUUUACAAAUUCAUCUUAUCCGCUCUCUCUUAUUUACUCCUCUUGAUUUAUUAGCUUGAUUAAUUAAUUGUCAUGCAACUUUCUUAGCCUACCCUUAACCCGAUCCCUCGGCGAAAAGAGCCUAUUACUUAUUACUGGNUUGCUAUCCCUAGCCUCCCCUAGCAAUUAAUAAAGCAUUAUAGAGCAGAAGUUAAAAACAAUUUAUCGUCCUACCCCUAUCCCUAUGUGGUAUUGCUUAAUCAAGGAAUUACUCACCAGUUCAUGACAUUACUGUACGUCCCCGUAUCAAUAAAGACAAACAAC
rnacentral:lncRNA from 1 species